UACGUAGGUGGCAAGCGUUGUCCGGAUUUAUUGGGUUUAAAGGGCGCGUAGGUGGUCUUGUAUGUCUACCGUGAAAGCGUACGGCUCAACCGUAUUUUGUCGGUAGAAACUGCAGGACUUGAGGCUGGGAGGGGCUGGCGGAAUUCCCUGUGUAGCGGUGAAAUGCGUAGAGAUGGGGGAGAACACUCGUGGCGAAGGCGGCCAGCUAGACCAGUUCUGACACUGAGGCGCGAUAGCGUGGGGAGCAAACAGG
rnacentral:rRNA from 1 species